CCUCCUGUGGAGCAGUGGGUCAGUGCAUCUGGCUGUUAACCAGAAGUUGAUGGUUUGAGGCAACCCAGGAAUA